rnacentral:lncRNA from 1 species
UCUUAUCUCCUUGAAGUUGUAGUGGAGCAGAUUAAAUCCAGUAAUCCUAUCUCCCUGAAGUUGCAGUGGAGCGGAUUAAAAUCACAGAUCUUAUCUCUCUGAAAUUGCAGAAAGUAGAUCGCAUCUAAGUCUUAUCUCCCUAAAGUUGCAGUAGAGCAGACUAAGUAAGCAAGUCUCAUCCUCCUGAAGUUGCAGUGAGGCAGACUGAAGAUGGCAAAUCUUAUCUCCCUAAAGUUGCAGUGGAGCAGAUUAAAGCCAAUAAUCCUAUCUCUCUAAAGUUACAGUGGAGUGAAUUAAAACCAC